UCUGUCAAGCUGUCAACAUCAACAACAUCAAUAGAAUCGACACUUGAGUGUCUUUUCUUAUUAUUUUCUGAGUAAUAUUUCUUUUUUAAACUUAUUGCAUUAAAGUAUGAUGUAAAUAUAAUGGCUUAUGAAUGUGUAUUUACUGAUUUCGAUGCUACCUACAAGUAUGGUUCUGCAUAUCCACAAUAUUAGGACAACCUAUGUAGUUGAAGCAUAGGGAAGAAAACACAGAAGUUUAUUGUUGUUCCUUUAUUAAAAUAACACUUUUAUAACUGCAUAUAUGAAUUGAAAAUACAACUAUUAGCAAUCAAUGGAAAGGGGAUGCUGAGGAUGUCCAAUAAUAUUUAUUUAUUAACAGCACCAGCUCAGCAAGUGGUAUCAGUUUUAGUUUAAGCUGCCUUAGUUCCUUAGCCUGUUCUGUCUUAGUUGGUCUAAUCGAAAUACAAUACUGUUUAUUAAGAUACUGAAAUAUUCUUUGAAUUAAUUAGAUGUCUGUUUGAUUUGAUUUAAUAAUGCCAGAACAAACACAGAACACUACAAAAAGUUAA